ACUCCUACGGGAGGCAGCAGUGGGGAAUAUUGCACAAUGGGGGAAACCCUGAUGCGGCCAUGCCGCGUGUGUGAAGAAGGCCUUGGGUUGUAAAGCACUUUCAGUAGGGAGGAAGGUAGUGUAGUUAACACCUGCAUUACUUGACGUUACCUACAGAAGAAGCACCGGCUAACUCCGUGCCAGCAGCCGCGGUAAUACGGAGGGUGCGAGCGUUAAUACGGAAUUACUGGGGCGUAAAGCGCAUGCAGGCGGCCUGUUAAGUCAGAUGUGAAAGCCCGGGGCUUAACCUCGGAAUUGCAUUUGAAACUGGCAGGCUAGAGUCUGUAGAGGGGGUUAGAAUUUCGAGGUGUAGCGGUGG
rnacentral:rRNA from 1 species